ACAGCAAAUGACACAAAUGAGAAAACUGUAUUCUGGUUACUGUGGUUAUGUGUUCAGUUCACUGGACUCUUGGUGUCAUGAUCCAGGUGAGUCUGAGCAACUUUCCACAGCAUUAGCUCUCCUCCCCUGGGUGGAGCCCUCCUCGCUCCUCACCUGUUGCCAAUUACUCCGGCAGUAUUUAUGAGCAGCACUCACAAUGAACCUUCUCCAGACUGUCUGCUUACCACAUCAGCACCUGGAUAUAUCUUCAACUCACGCCAUAAGUCACGCCUCAGGAUUCUGGCCUGCCACUGCUGGUAAAACUCACUCUUGCAAACUGCCGUCCUCACCUGCCUGCCUCCCUGUGCACCCACAUCUCAUUCUGUACCCAGAUUUAAUUCAUCUCCUCCUCCAGCUAAUCUCCACCUGCAGCCACUGUUCCUGGAUAGUUUCCUGCCCCUGUUGUUCCUUUGACCUGCCUCAGCUUAUGUUCUGGCCUCAGCUCUGCACUUCUCAUAAUACCUUGAUCGCUGUUGAAUUUAGCUGCGAUUCAGCUUCCUUGUCAAGAAAUCUAGUUAAGUAAAUUUCUGUUUAAAGUCACUCAGCUUCCGGUUCUUGGUUUUGUGCUUGAGUCCAAUCCCUGACACUUGGGUUAUAACUGAGUGCAGGUU